AUAACUUUAAAUGUCUUUUUUAAUUCUGUGUGACUUAAGACAGAAAGAGAGCAGUAUAAAAGGGAGAUGGCAAAAGUAUAAAAACACCGCUUCACUAACCUGCUCGACUGUUAGCAUAACUGCUACCAUGUGCUACAUUAAAUGUAUAACGUUACAUCUAACAAUACAAAUAAAACAUAUUAUAUAUAUAUUAUACUAUAUUAGUGACUAUAGUUGCCGAUAAGCUUUUAAUAUUGUUUUAGUUAACACAUUACUCACCUGGGACUGGGCGGCUGUGUAUUCGUGCUCCUGCACCAUCUCCACAUGUAUUGCUCUGCACCACAAACAUCCCGUUUUGACGCGUGAUUUAACGUCUCCACAACUUUUCCACGCAAACUUGGAGCCCACGGUGCGAGAUCGACUGUACUCCGGUUGGACACGGACCUCAUCCUCCGUGAAGUGCUUAGCACACACUAAACUACCUUUCCUCACAGUCAUUGUAGCCUCAUCCUCUAGCCAAAUUUCAACGCUUUUUUUAUAACACAAAGGCACACUAUACACAUCUGAAUACUUUUGGUCUCCGCCAUUUUUCGGCAAGCGAAUGAACGCUAUAGCGCUUUCACUGGAAAAUAACUUCUGGGAUUCGGAGCGCAAAACAUUUGAUUCAGAUCAGGCGUACUACUCUGGCUGUGACAUCAUCAUCCUGGGGAGGGACUUUGAGAGGAUUCAGAUCAUGCCAGGAGCCAAACACGGGAACAUCCAGGUGGACACACACACACACACACACACACACACACACACACGGUUCUGGCGUCCAAACAACAUCAAGGUCUUUAUAAACUGUUACAGCACUUACUCAGAGUGACACAUAGCAUAGCUUUUAGCCUCAUGGUUGCAGUUUGAGGUUCAGGAAUUAGUUUUAUUAUUAUUUAUUUUUUUAGCCUUUAUGUUUAUGUCAGUUUUAAUAAUUUUAGCAUUUCAACUUUUUUGUAAAAAGUUACUACUUUAAUUUUAGUACUGUUUAAAUUUAAUUUAUAGUGCUUUUUACUUUACAAAUCAUUGCAAAGCAACUUUAAAGAAGAUUAAGUUACAAUAUUUAGUAGUACCUUACACGAUUUAUCUAUAUCAUUUUACUUUAGCUUUAUUUCAAUUACAGAAAACUCAAUUACAGUUUUUAGUAGUUUCAGUCUUAGUUAACAACAAUGACACAUAGUUGGUUGCUUUGGGAAUUACUAGUUAGGAAUAAAAGUUUAACUGUGCUUAUUUUACAUAUUUAUUUUUUUAAAUAAAAUGUAAAAAAUUAUAUAUUUUUUGUACGAGUUUCUGUCUUCUGCUGAAUGCUAAAAAGAUUAUGCUUUAAACACCAAACUGUUGAUGGUACCCAUUCACUUCCAUAGUAUUUUUCCUCUAUUAUAGAAGUCAAUGGGUGCAGUCAACUGUUCGCACUCAAAAAAACAUCUUCUUUAGUGUUCAGCAGAAAAAAACACACUUGUUCAGGCUGAGGAAGAGUAAACGAUCGCAGGAUUUGAUUGUUUGAUUCCUCUCACACAGACAAUACAGUUAUAUGAGUGUUAAUCUAAACUGUGUUUGAAUAUGAAGCACUUUUUGUGUGUGAAGACAUUUGUGAAUCAACCAAUCAGCUGUCACUCGAUUUCAGAGCCGCUAACUACAAUAAGAUCACAGCUACUUUUAUUUUCAGUAUAAAUAUGGAGUUGAACACAAGGCUUGAUGAAAUAAUACUGUGAUAAAGAUAAAGCAUAUGUAUAAUCAUCGAGGCUCCUGAAGACGUAUGUUUUAGGAAGAUUGUCCAGGGUUUAUUUUUUACUCUUUUCUUUUACCCACCAACGCUAGACUCAGACACAAACACGAGAGAUUUUAAUUUGUGUCCGAGUCGAACGGUGGCGUCAUGGUGUUCUUCUUCACCGCAGAGAAUGAUGCUCUUGCUCUUGUUUUCCAGCUCAAAUAUCUGAACAUCCUUAAAUCGAGAAGCAUUUACUGAAAUAUAAAUGAGUUAAUAUUUAAAACAAGAACAAAUAUCUGUCAGCGGCUAAGAAAAACAAUAGUUUUCACCUUUGGCAGUAUUUUUUUUCCCCGUUUUAAGAAUUAACCAAUAAAAAUCUAAAAAUGAAUAUAUUGAGUAGAUAAUAAUAAUUAAUAUCUGAGGUCAUUAUGCAUCUCCUGCAAAUGUCUUGGUUUCACGAUGUUCAUAUAUUAGCACUGGAAUACAGAGUGUAAUAAUUUUUUCUUCCCCAGAUUAUUGCUGAUGUGAAGCAGUGAGGAAUCCGCUGUAUAGUGAUCAUGCUCUCUGCCCUUAACCUCUCAAAUCUGAAAAUAUACUCCAAUGAAUCUAAUUUUAUAUCAAGUAUGAAGAGAUCUGUAAUAUACUUGACUGUAUGUAAUGAGAAAAUAAAUUACUUAAUGCAACAUCCAUUAUUUCUUUGCUGGGUUUUUUUUAUGAAUGAUUAUGUCAUCUUUUAUUAUAAACAUGAGUGCAGUAUUAGCAUUUGUAUCAACAUUAUUAGAAAUGUCUGAAUGAAUCAGAAUCAAACGAUUAAAUGAUUAAUGCAGAGAUUUUCUUCCUUAGUAUUUCUGUCUUGUUUUCUGGUAUAAAUAAUGCUUUCAAACGAUUAAUCGCUUUAGAAUAUGAGCUGGGUCAUUCUGUCGAUUCAUUCAGGGCUGCUCUGGGUUUAGUACAAACACAACAUUAGUCUAUAGGGAGGUAUAGUCUUGUCUCUUGGAAAUGCAGAGAACAGCUUUCCUCAGCUUUCCUUAAGGCUGUCCUUGUCCUGUUUGCAAAUGGCUAAAAGGGAAGAAAAAAGAAUACAUAGAAUAAGUUCACAGUUUGUUCAUGUUCGUUAAUUAAUUAACUAAUAUUAACUAAAGGACUAGUAUUCUAAAGUGUAACCACUUAAUCUUUGUAAAUAAGUAACGGUAGUGAAAUUAAAGAUAGAAGCUUGAGCUCCAUCAUUAAUCUAGACAGUCAACGUGCUCACUCUGUAUAUUGUGCUCAUAACACCAUUUAGUUUAUUAUAUAAAUGGCAAUAUAAGUAAAAACGUAAUAAGAAUUCAUUUAUUCUUAUAAAGUCUCAGCUUUCACUGCUAACUACGUAAGCGAUAUCGCUAGCUAUUUAUUAAUAGUCUGACACUGGUGGUUAAUUAAGCUGUCAACAUAAUGUUAAAAAUGACCAAAAAACAUCGAUAAAGAACAGCUGAGUCUUACCUGUGAAAGAUAACACCCCGAGAUCUGUUUUUUUUUUAUCGUGAGACGGUUUGUAGGUGUCCAAUUUGUCGAUGAUGAGUCAGGUACGUUUUCUUCUGUCCUGAUGUGAGAGUUAUGAGAGUUGCCCGCUCCAAUAUGGCGGCGACGUUGACGUGCCGUCGAGUGGCCAAUGUAUUUAUCUGUCUAUAUAUAGCCUAUAUGUAUGUCUAUUUUUGACACAAAUAAUAAAAAUGAGUCUGUGAGUGACUGAUGUACAGUGUGUUCAAUGGACUGUAUUGUUGUUUCACAAAUGUGUCUUUUCAGAGAGGAAG
ensembl:lncRNA